CAGUCUCUAUUACACGAACUCCCACCGCUAGCUAGCAGCACUGCACACAGCCUGGUGGGACGAACCAACGCCACUAGGCGAUAGGGGGAAGCAUUUUAUAAUAUCUGCUCCUUUUAUGCUCAGACAAGCCGCCACAUCCCACUCGAAAUACUGCGGGUUGUUAGUCCACAUAUUUCUAUUGGUAUCGGUGCUACUUAUUGUUUCACAUGUGUUCCGGAGAUAAAAUAGGGUUUUUUUUAAUUGAGGGGGGUGCAGAGUGGUUUAUGCCAGGGAGCAGCGCUGUUGCCAGGAGUUGUGAUGGUGGAAGCUGGUCGCUGGAUGGAUAGAUGUGUGUAGCUCCGAGUGGGAUUCCUUGUUCUGAGCCGGUGAGGAGGUAUCACAGCGCAGUAAAGGCUCAUUGUUACCUGAUAGCCCUCAGUUAACCCUCAGUAGUUGUCAGUGGUGCGGAGGCUGCGGCAUGGCUCCCAGGAAAGGAGAACUGACAGAGGACGAGAGGCAGCUGCUCACACACAUCUCCCAAGGGAACAUUCAGGAAACUCGGAGGCUUUUAGGAAGCAAGGAUGUCCGUGUUAACUGUUUGGAUGAGCUUUCAAAAUCGGUCGCUGAUUCCGAUAGCCAAUAAAAAAAAAAAAAUGAAAAAUUGCUCUUUAUGGCUACAAUAAAGGAAAAAUUGUGAAUUCCCCACAAAAUUCAAGAAAUUCGUGAAACGGUGAAGAAUUAGCGGAAAGAUUGUGAAAUCGGAUAGUUCACGAAAAAAUUUGGACAAUUUUCAUGAAAAAAUCUUGAAAAUGUUACAUUUUCAUGCAAAAUAGGGAAAAUCGGAAAUUGACACUGGAGAAUUUUCGUGGAAGAUUUGCAAAUUUAUUCGCCGGCAUUGGAACGCUACUGUUUGGGUGUGUCAAAACAUUGCUAUCUCCCAGAUAUCCAUCCAACAAUGUUCCACCAGAUAAAUGACUUUUUGUUGUGCUGUGAACUGUUGAUAUAAAGUUUAUAUGUGAAUUUUUCAUUGUUCUCUUCAAAGCAGUUUGAUUUUUAUUUAUUCCCAAAAAGGGAUUGCGACAUAUAAGAAACAUUUUUUGCAUGGGAGCAGAUUCCUGAUGUCCAGUAUCUAGAGCUGUAUACACUGCUGUGUGAAAUCCUUUAUGACGGCAGAGCACUGUCUCAGCUACAAGCUGUGGUUAAUGAUUUCACAAUGGUUGGGAAAGGCUUAGGCCAAUGGCACACAAGGAAAUUAGUCUUCCCCAUCGGAAGCCAACAAGAGGAAGAAUUUACCCCUUAGAGCUUAAAAUCCAAAUGAGUGUGCUAAACAGAUGUUAUCAGACUCGGCGUUGGCAGUUCUUGGCACUUGCUGUGAACUUCAGCUUUUACCCAUCCGUAUUCUCUGCUUUGUCAGAAAAAGGACUGCAGCAACUCUGAUGGAUUUCCUCGACCAAUGAGGAUUUCACAUGCACAAAAACGACUUGCUUUAUCCAACAUGAAGCUUGAAAUAAAGGAGGAUUCCAUAUAUGCUGCAACUGCAGAGGAUCCUGGCUUUUUACCACUUAUUCUUUACAUUGCAAUAGCUGGCCUGCAUUUACUAAAGAAAGACUAAUAGAUAUGAUUGGAGGAGUUCUAAUCUUUGUCAAACUGCGACUGUGUAGUAACAUAUAAAGCACUCUUUUUGCUUCUUCAAGCAGCUUCACAGUUUUCAGCAGCAUUAGAUAGAAGAGAUGGAGGUAGAGAAGCUACAGUUCAGAGAAACUGAGGUUACACUGAAGAUAAGCUAGAAUGCCUGCGUUUCAAGAACAGCAUGACUGCCAAAACGUAAUGUAAAUUUUAAUAAAUAUCACAUUUUUCGAGAUUUAUUAUACCCGGAAGCUGGAAAUAGCUAGAAUCCAAAAAUACUCCAACUAAAAUCUGUCGAGGUCAUUAAAAAUCAAAGGCAGAGGUCCCUUGAGCCGUUUGUAGCCUUUAUGAUGUUCAGUCGUUUUUUUUUGGUUGUUUUCGCUCCAAAACUCAAUCAAUUCGAGUAUUUGAAUUUUUCACCCCGACUACACUGAUUCAAGUUUUUUACAUUACAUUUCAUAAAUAAGAAAACAUUCAGCAUGGAAAUAAAUCUGCUUCCCACUGUA